GAUGAACGCUGGCGGCGUGCCUAAUACAUGCAAGUCGAGCGAACGGACGAGAAGCUUGCUUCUCUGAUGUUAGCGGCGGACGGGUGAGUAACACGUGGAUAACCUACCUAUAAGACUGGGAUAACUUCGGGAAACCGUAGCUAAUACCGGAUAAUAUUUUGAACCGCAUGGUUCAAAAGUGAAAGACGGUCUUGCUGUCACUUAUAGAUGGAUCCGCGCUGCAUUAGCUAGUUGGUAAGGUAACGGCUUACCAAGGCAACGAUGCAUAGCCGACCUGAGAGGGUGAUCGGCCACACUGGAACUGAGACACGGUCCAGACUCCUACGGGAGGCAGCAGUAGGGAAUCUUCCGCAAUGGGCGAAAGCCUGACGGAGCAACGCCGCGUGAGUGAUGAAGGUUUUCGGAUCGUAAAACUCUGUUAUUAGGGAAGAACAUAUGUGUAAGUAACUGUGCACAUCUUGACGGUACCUAAUCAGAAAGCCACGGCUAACUACGUG
rnacentral:rRNA from 1 species